CCCUUAGAUGUUCUGGGCCGCACGCGCGCUACACUGACGAAGUCAGCGAGCAUGUCCUACGCCGACAGGUGCGGGGAAUCUUGUCAAACUUCGUCGUGAUGGGGAUUGAUUUUUGAAAUUCUUGAUCAUAAACGAGGAAUUCCUAGUAAGCGCAAGUCAGCAGCUUGCGUUGAUUACGUCCCUGCCCUUUGUACACACCGCCCGUCGCUACUACCGAUUGAAUGGUUUAGUGAGAUCUUCGGAUUGGCGCCACUGCAGCUCAGCAAUGGGCUUGGUGGAUGCCGAAAAGUUGAUCAAACUUGACCAUUUAGAGGAAGUAAAAGUCGUAACA
rnacentral:rRNA from 1 species